AUUGAACGCUGGCGGCAUGCCUUACACAUGCAAGUCGAACGGCAGCACGGACUUCGGUCUGGUGGCGAGUGGCGAACGGGUGAGUAAUGUAUCGGAACGUACCUUUCAGUGGGGGAUAACGUAGCGAAAGUUACGCUAAUACCGCAUAUUCUGCGAGCAGGAAAGCAGGGGAUCGCAAGACCUUGCGCUGAUUGAGCGGCCGAUAUCAGAUUAGCUAGUUGGUGAGGUAAAGGCUCACCAAGGCGACGAUCUGUAGCGGGUCUGAGAGGAUGAUCCGCCACACUGGAACUGAGACACGGUCCAGACUCCUACGGGAGGCAGCAGUGGGGAAUUUUGGACAAUGGGGCGAACCCUGAUCCAGCCAUGCCGCGUGAGUGAAGAAGGCCUC
rnacentral:rRNA from 1 species